UGGGGAAUUUUGGACAAUGGGCGCAAGCCUGAUCCAGCCAUGCCGCGUGCAGGAUGAAGGCCUUCGGGUUGUAAACUGCUUUUGUACGGAACGAAAAGGUGCCUUCUAAUAAAGGGCGCUCAUGACGGUACCGUAAGAAUAAGCACCGGCUAACUACGUGCCAGCAGCCGCGGUAAUACGUAGGGUGCGAGCGUUAAUCGGAAUUACUGGGCGUAAAGCGUGCGCAGGCGGUUUUGUAAGACAGAGGUGAAAUCCCCGGGCUCAAGCUGGGAACUGCCUUUGUGACUGCAAGGCUGGAGUGCGGCAGAGGGGGAUGGAAUUCCGCGUGUAGCAGUGAAAUGCGUAGAUAUGCGGAGGAACACCGAUGGCGAAGGCAAUCCCCUGGGCCUGCACUGACGCUCAUGCACGAAAGCGUGGGGAGCAAACA
rnacentral:rRNA from 1 species